GCCUUGGUUUUUCCACACGCUUCUUGCGACCCUGUUGACUAUUUUGAAUGAAACGCUUGAUUGUUCAAUGAUCACGCUUCAGAAGCUUUGCAAUUUUAAGAGUGCUGCAUCCCUCUGCAAGAUAUCUCACUAUUUUUGACUUUUCUGAGCCUGUCAAGUCCUUCUUUUGACCCAUUUUACCAAAGGAAAGGAAGUUGCCUAAUAAUUA